rnacentral:rRNA from 1 species
UACGGAGGGGGCAAGCGUUAUCCGGAAUUACUGGGCGUAAAGCGCACGCAGGCGGUCUUUUAAGUUUGACGUGAAAGCUCCCGGCUUAACUGGGAGAGGUCGUUGAAUACUGGAAGACUUGAGGCAAUGAGAGGGGUGUAGAAUUCCCGGUGUAGUGGUGGAAUGCGUAGAUAUCGGGAGGAACACCUGCGGCGAAGGCGGGUUGCUGGGCUGACACUGACGCUGAGGCGCGAAAGCUAGGGGAGCGAACGGG